CUGGGAAAUACAAUUGCCUGUUUUCGUAGUCUUAAUGCAAACCUCGCAGCCUGGUGUGUCAGUACCUCUACCUUCCUGAAUAAUUAAAAACACACAUAUAUGCAUCAUCAAACACAUUACUCCUGACAUCUUCUUCCUAAUUCUUCGACCGUGCGACAGCACCUCAGCUUCCAGGCGUGUGAGGGCUGCAGGGAAUGGAGUCCUUCUGAUCCUCACUGUUCUUCACAGAGGAUUCCUCUGGCUUAAACGUUGGUAGGUGGUCAGGCUUUAUUGUGGCCAUCAAAACACCUACUUGUAGAUCUUUGUUGAUGUUCCCUUGUAACAAUACUCUUCGCAAAAAACACUUUUAAUCUAACUGGGUCACUCGCUUCAACCGGAUCUUGCAGGGAUUCUCAGGAUCUUGAGUAGCUUGCCAAGAAUCUGCUGCUGGU